rnacentral:rRNA from 1 species
ACCGGCGCACGGGUGAGUAACACGUAUCCAACCUGCCGCUUACUCGGGGAUAGCCUUUCGAAAGAAAGAUUAAUACCCGAUGGUAUAAAGAGUUCGCAUGUUCUCUUUAUUAAAGAAUUUCGGUAAGCGAUGGGGAUGCGUUCCAUUAGAUAGUUGGCGGGGUAACGGCCCACCAAGUCUACGAUGGAUAGGGGUUCUGAGAGGAAGGUCCCCCACAUUGGAACUGAGACACGGUCCAAACUCCUACGGGAGGCAGCAGUGAGGAAUAUUGGUCAAUGGGCGAGAGCCUGAACCAGCCAAGUAGCGUGAAGGAUGACUGCCCUAUGGGUUGUAAACUUCUUUUAUAAGGGAAUAAAGUGAGGGACGUGUCCCUUUUUGUAUGUACCUUAUGAAUAAGGAUCGGCUAACUCCGUGCCAGCAGCCGCGGUAAUACGGAGGAUCCAAGCGUUAUCCGGAUUUAUUGGGUUUAAAGGGAGCGUAGGUUGACAUAUAAGUCAGCUGUGAAAGUUUACGGCUCAACCGUGAAAUUGCAGUUGAUACUGUAUGUCUUGAGUGUACAAGAGGUGGGCGGAAUUCGUGGUGUAGCGGUGAAAUGCUUAGAUAUCACGAAGAACUCCAAUUGCGAAGGCAGCUCACUGGGGUACAACUGACACUGAGGCUCGAAAGUGUGGGUAUCAAACAGGAUUAGAUACCCUGGUAGUCCACACA